rnacentral:rRNA from 1 species
CAGUAGCCGCGGGAAUACGGAGGGAGCUAGCGUUGUUCGGAAUUACUGGGCGUAAAGCGCGCGUAGGCGGUUACUCAAGUCAGAGGUGAAAGCCCGGGGCUCAACCCCGGAACUGCCUUUGAAACUAGGUGACUAGAAUCUUGGAGAGGUCAGUGGAAUUCCGAGUGUAGAGGUGAAAUUCGUAGAUAUUCGGAAGGAACACCUGUGGCGAAAGCGGCUCACUGGACCAUUACUGACGCUGAGGUGCGAAAGCGUGGGGAGCAAACAGGAUUAGAUACCCCAGUAGUCCCUGUCUCUUAUA